CAGCAGCCGCGGGAAUACGGAGGGUGCAAGCGUUAAUCGGAAUUACUGGGCGUAAAGCGCACGCAGGCGGUCUGACAAGUCAGAUGUGAAAUCCCCGGGCUUAACCUGGGAACUGCAUUUGAAACUGUCAGGCUGGAGUCUUGUAGAGGGGGGUGGAAUUCCAGGUGUAGCGGUGAAAUGCGUAGAGAUCUGGAGGAAUACCGGUGGCGAAGGCGGCCCCCUGAACAAAGACUGACGCUCAGGUGCGAAAGCGUGGGGAGCAAACAGGAUUAGAUACCCCUGUAGUCCCUGUCUCUUAUAC
rnacentral:rRNA from 1 species